UUUAUUCUGAGAGGUAUUAAUUUUUUCUUAAAAAAAAAAAAGGAAAACAGACUUGCUAACUAAAGUCAGUGUGGUGCUAAGAGGAUGAGAGUCUCCCAAAACUUGUUCCUUUGCUGUCGGCCAAUUAAACGCUUAUACCUGCUUAAUCAUUUAAUGUCGGGAAGAUCAAGAUUUGUCUGAUCAACACAGGAAAAUGACUUUGAGGAUAGAGACGCCUCUAAUGUGAAAUCACAGAAUCACGAUCCUUUGAGGAUGGAAAUGGCUCAUAGGUAAGUAAUUGGAAUUUUUUUUACAACCACGACACCAAAGGCGUAGCUGAUGAAUUUCCUUAAUGGUCUCCUUGUCAGCGGAUCAGCCAAGGAAAGGCUUUUCAGUUAUAAGCAAGUCAAGGAAAGUGCAUGUAACAACAACAGCGACAAAGAUGACCCACUCAGACCCUGCGGCAGAGGUUCAACAUUUGGCUCUGCAGCGGAGCCUUGUCAAGUUUCCAGCUGCACGCCUCUGGAGCGGUCCUGGGCAAGGCAGCUCCCUUCUCAUGCCCAAGGGCCCUGCUCUGGGAUCUGAGGGUUGUGUGAUGCCCUGGGGUUGCGUGGGUAUGAAGUAAGUUGAUGCACACAGAGGAUCUACAACCUAGUACUCAGUAGCUGUCACAUCCACUCUUUAAUGAGGCAUUCCCCGUAGCACAGACCAAGUCCUCUGAUGGUACCAUGUGCAGAUCUUGAGAUGUUAGUCCUUUUCUCUUCUAAAUACCAUUCUUCAGAUGUCUGCUGCCCUGACUGUCCAUUUACGGAAAGACUCUUCUGCCUUUCCAGCGGAAGGUUUGCAUGGGAAAUUAGGAGUAAACCAAUACCAGCACUAACCCAUCUGCCGGAGAAACUCUUGAAUCACUUUUUGCCUUUUACAGUUUUUCUACACUAUUCAUCUAAUACUUAGUAGAUUGUAUGGAAAUGUAAGGUCGUUCACAUCAGAAAUUUGUGUCCAUUUGGUGUAUGUAUCUCUGGGCCCACAACAGACCCUCGGCACUUAGUAAAUGGGUGCCAUCGCAUGACAGAGUGAUUUUUCAGGCUGGCUUCUGAACACUUGUGUUACCCUGAAGAGGAGAUGGCCUGGAACAUCAUGGGAGGCGUCUGACCCAUUUUCUUCUCACGUGUCUUCUCUCUCAUAUUCAGACACGGACGCACCAUUUCCCCGGUCCACCUAGCUUCUCUGUCACCUAGCUGAUGAUUGUCACAGAGCUCACUCCUGAACACAACAGGUAUUGUGAAUGAGUACAAGACAGUGAGAGACGUAAGGCAUUAAAAAUGCCCCCAAAGCCAAGAGGUCUCAAAAACAGAAGACGGUGCUCUCCUUUUCUCCCAUUAAGCCCACUUCUGGUGAAUGUUGCCUCGUGCAUAUUUGUAUGCCGGUCACUGGCGGAAGGACUUGCAGACAUGUCGUUAUUUGACCAGCAUUUAUCGACCGCACGUGAUGCGGUAGAAUCUAUUACUAGUUGAGAAUUUUCCUGAACUGAGUAUGUAUUGAUUUUUAUGAAAGUUUUCUUUGCUUUUAAUAUGUUCUGCACAUUCCUGGUUCUAGCCGUAGAAAACCAAAAUGCGACCUCUUAGCCGCCUCAACCGGAGCAGGGCGUUGUGGCGCCUCUGGGAGAAGAGUGUGUCAGCGGGAGGACCUCCCCGCUGUGGGGAGGGCGGCUUCUGCAGGGAGGAGCUGGAGUAUAGCCUGCAAAGUGACGUGGGAAAAUACAGGGAUUGGAGCACGAGUGUUCAGAGUCACGUCACGGAUUUACCUGAAGCCAAUCAGUUAAUCUGUUACUCAGUUUCCCCAGUUGUACUACGUGCUACUGGAAACUGUGCAAGGAACAAACAGAGUCUCCAUUGAUAUAGGAAUUUAGGGCAUAAAACGUGGUCUGCUGUUCAGUUGGACCAGCCGGUCUGUGUCUGUAUCUGGGAUCAGCUGUAUGAAAGUGUGGAAGAGUCGGCUGAAUGAAUUUCAGGAGAAAAGAAAUUUCUCCUGGGUGGCAAGAUAAUUCCACCACCUACCCUUGAUGCCUUCUGUGUAUUAGCAUGAGAGAUGCAGGAGUCUUCGAUCUUCUGAGGAGAGCAGGCCAUAGGAGGACAACACUGAAGAUGUCUGGAGAAAGAGUGAGGAUAUCUGUGGGAAAGGAAGGACUCAUGAGGAGAGGAAGCCGAGCAUGAAGGUCAGGGGACUCACGGUGUCACUUUAUCAAGGUAAAGUACAACGUGAGCUACCUGCUGGGUGUCCGCCACCGCGAUCUUGGAUUUCCCUGUGAGUCAUGGGGCUAAUGCCCUUCCCUCCCUACGUUCUGCUGCUUUCUUGGGCUGUGUGCUUUCCAAGUGCUGCCCGCCGCACCUUCAGCAGGAGGAAGCCAUUAUAUUAAACCCCUCGGUUCGGUUCAUGCAUCCCUUAGACUGGUUCUGAAUUAUCUUUGAGGUAUCAGGUGCCAGCUGGGCGAGGUGCUAGGGACCCCGAGACAAACAAAACCGACGUGAUUCCGGAUCUCUUGGAGCCUCCUGUCCGGCGGCAGAAACAGCUGUUCGUAUUCUCCACUGACACUUCACGUGCACGGUCAUCGUUCCAAGCCCUUUGUCGCACGGACUCAUUUUGUCUUCACAGUGGCCUUGCAGAACGUGUCACAGAUGAGGAAACUGGACCACGGAACGUUUGUGCAACUGACUCCGAUAUCUUUCGCCAGUAUGACAGGUAAAGGCUGAGGCAGGAGCACCUUAGUAAGGCACACGUACCAGUGAAGGCGCUCCGGGUCCCUAAGCCAGAAACCUUGCCUCGCGGCGGUGCAGACCGAAGAGGAAAUACUUCCCUUACCUGCAAGUGGGACGGCCGCUGCCCAGUGCCCCACAAGCUAAAAUCAUCCGGUGAAAAAGCGAACUCGCCCCCCCGCCCCCGUCACCUUUGUCAUUUCUGGUCCACCUCAGAUGCCUUUUCUUCAAAAGUGACUCUUGAGGCUCCAGGACAGUAAUUCAAGCAGACUCCUUGAUCGGUACUGAUUGUCAGGAGUCCUAAGUAAGAUUCCAGCCACGGUGGGAUAGUCCAGACGCUUUUCCUGUUUGUUACUGGGGCUUCGAGGUCCAAAAAUGUUGUCCUAUGUUUCCUCCCUGGCAUCUGAAGAGUCUGGCCAAGGAUCGUCCUGCUGGGCGAACCUACAGUCAACACUGUCCUUCCAGCCCUGCGGGGCCUGGGAGUGGAGGACCCUUGACUUCCAAUGUCGGUGUCAGGAUGAUGCUGCGUCUGUCCCAUCGAGAGGUCAUGAUCUCUCCUAGACUAUAUCCAUCUGAGGCAAUACUUUGGACUCCAUCUGCCUUAUGUUAUUUUUGUCUUAUUUUCUCGAUUAUUUCAUAAACUGUCAAAAGAAGAGAUGCAUGAAGGUCUAGUAAACAUGGUGAAAAAGUAUUUCUAAAAACAAGAAUCACACUUUAAGGUAAAAAAGUAGAAACAUUGCUAGUAAUUGGAAGUAGAAAAUGAUUCUCACUAUUUCCCUUAUGAAUUAACUCCUGGGGGAUAAACAUUUGAGAGAAAUGUCAGAUGACGCAUUUACUCAUAUGUGAUAUGAUUAUAUAGCACAAGAAACAAUUAUUCAACUUAAAAAUUGUUAAAGUAUCUAAGAAAAUUCAGAACCGUUCUCAAGGAAGGGUUUUAAAAUUAAUGUACAAAAGCUAAUAGUUUAUAAGAUGUAAACAAUGGCUACUAAGAAGAUACAAUAAAUGAAACCAUUCACACUGGAAA